rnacentral:lncRNA from 1 species
AUGGCUCUACCCUACAAAAUCUGCAUUCCUGGUCAUGUGAUACAAAUCAGACCAAUCAGAGAUCUUCCAUGGCAUCUUCAAAUUGGAACAAAGGGGAGAACAUUUCUUUUUCCUGACCCUCUUGUGAAAUAAAGUUGGAGAAUAUAAACUUUGUACUUGCCAGACCACAUAGGUCCAGCUUCUCGUAAGAUGC